AGCUUUGCACAGUAGUAGUAUCGUAGCCAAUGAGGUUUAUCCGAGGCAUGAUUAUUGCUAAUUGAACACUUUUCCUAAAAACGUACUGAUGAAAUAAUAGGAAGAGACAAUAUUGUGAAUUUAUUAAUUUUUUCUCAAAA